UUGAACUUGUGUUGUAGGUCGGGAGCUG
rnacentral:piRNA from 1 species